rnacentral:lncRNA from 1 species
AGCCACACCCGCAGCAUAUGGAGGUUCCUAGGCUAGGAGUCUAAUCGGAGCUGUUGCCGCUGGCCUACACCACAGCCACAGUGACGCGGGAUCUGAGCUGCGUCUACGACCUACACCACAGCUCAUGGCAAUGCCAGCUCCUUAACCCACCGAGUGAGGCCAGGGAUCGAACCCAAAACCUCAUGGUUCCUAGUCGGAUUCAUUUCCGCUGCGCCAUGACAGGAACUCCCUGAAUCAUUUUUAAGUGGACUGUGGCAUCAAGUAUGUUCACACUGUUGUACAACCAUCACCACCAUCCAGCUCCUCAAUGCUUCCAUCAUCCCACACUGAAACUCUGUACCCAUUAAAUACUAUUUCCCCAUUUCUCCCGCCCCUUAGUUCCUGAUAACCACCAUUCUACUUUCUGUCUCUAUGAAUCUGACGAUGCUAGAUGCUUCAGUGGAAUCAUACAAUAUUUGCCUACAUUUGCAUUUUUAUAACUCAUUAGGGUAAAUUUUUUUUUUCCUAAGCUUCUCAGCCAUUGCACUUAUUCUUUGGGUAUUAUCUAUUCUUAAUCUUUAUCUAUUUUUCUUUCUUUCUUUUUUGGCUGUGGCCAUGGCAUGUGGAAAUUCCCAGGCCAGGGAUUGAACCCACACCACAGCAGCAACCCAAGUCACAGCAGUGACAACACUGGUUCCUUAACCUGGUGAGACACCACGGAACCCGAUCCAUCACCUGAUUUUAGUAGCUUUAGCUUAAAAGCUUAUUAGCUUUUAGCACUGACCCUAGUUAUUGAGGAUGAAGAAAUCAGUAUACAUUUAUCCUUCUCCCCCCUUUGCUUCCCACUUUUUGUUGGUGAUAUAACUUCUACAUUAUCAGGGCUAAAAACGCUUACAUUCUGUUCUGUCACCAUAAUCGCCACAUUUCUCUCAGUCUUACAUUUCAUGUCAAUAGUCGUUGCCAAUCCCUUUGCAGUUGUUCUCGUCUCUUGGUUGGCUGAAUCUUCUAACAGAUUUCUCAAACAGGGUGGAGAAAAUAAUAUCCCCUGUGUUCUUUCAUGUUUCCACUGUUUGCCUCUAUACCUCAAAGAGAGUUUGGCUCCUGCUUUCUUUCCUCUGGGAUCUUGUAGGCAUUGCUCCAAAAUCUUUGGGGAGUGAAGCUGGCUAUGGGAGAAGACUGAGGCCAAUCUUUGGAUUCCCUCCUCUACAUCAUGCCAAGAAAGCUCUAGCAUCUCAGCCUCAUUAACUGCAGACCACCAAUGACUCCAAAUUUAGUCACCCAACCAAGUAAGCUGUUACAGCCAACUCCAACUGCAUGAUCUAACCCUCUGAAUCCAUAAUAUCCAAUAAAGUGUACCCACAUCAAUGAAUUCAGCAGGAUUUAAUAUUAUACUCUUCUCUCCUUGCUCUAAUACCCACACACUCAUCAGGUUUCUGUUAAUAUAUAUUAAUGAAGUACAGCAAUCUUUUGGUGUAAAAGCUAUUUCCUCCUGCAUCAGAGUAUGUACCUGUCCCUCUGAAUCAUGUUGAGAUUUGAACCUUGUUAUGGCGCAGCCAAGGAUGGCUGUCAUGAGCUUGGAGGAGGAUGGCAUUUCUUUCAAGGAAUCUGUCCCAGGUGACAUUAUCACAGUAUGUAAACAAAGACUAGUUUCUUCAGAUACUAGACAGCAAGCAACUUUCAUGGUAAGGGAGGCUCUGCCACCUGACAAUGACCAUGCUUUAUCAUUGUAUGCCUAUACAUUCUUAAAAGCUUUGGGGCUUCAGAACAAAGGCAGUACCUCUGAAUUUCUUACCACAUUUGAACUUUUAUUAUGAAGCAUCUUGGAAAAGAAUACCUUUAUCUAGAAUCCUUACAGCACACAAGUGAAGUGUCAGUCUCUUCUGCUGCCCUAGGCCAUUAGAGAGAGUACUACUUGCCAAAAUUUGAGGGAGACAUUUUACAUGAGUAGUUUUCAAUCAAAGUCUUAUUGUACACAGGUGGCACUUUGGAAACCUGUGAAAGUGUCACAGUAACCAGGAGUUGCCACUAGCAUUUAAUGGGCAAGGCUCAGAGAUGCUAGACAUUCUACAAGGUGUGGUUUGGUCCCACACACUGUCUGACUUUAGAAUGUCCUGCUAAAUAUUCAUUAAGUAAAAAAGAUUUUUUUUGGGGGGGGGCUGCACCUGCAGCAUAUGGAGGUUUCCAGGCUAAGGGUUGAAUCAAAGCUACAGCUGCCAGCCUACAGCACAGCCACAGCAACACAGGAUGAGCCCCACAGCUCAUGGCAAGGCCAGAUCCUUAACCCACUGAGUGAGGCCAGGGAUCAAACCCGAAAUCUCAUGGUGCCUAGUAGGAUUCAUUUCCGCUGUGCCUCAACAGGAACGCCAAUACAUACAUUUUUUUUCCCCCUAAUGAACAUCAUAUUUUCCAAGAGCAUAAAUUAUCAUGUGGCUCAAGGGAAGACUGAAUUUUGUUUUAGUUAGAACUGUACCAAGAGUGGGUCUCAAUUUUGGAAAAUCAUCAAAGGCAAUGCCGCUCAUGGUGUCUGAGUGAGUAGUCACAGUCUGUAUUUGUAGUGUGGCAUUCCCAGUGAUUUGAUCUAUAUAAAUAGACUAUUUAGUCCCUAUUUCAUUAAUUAUAAAAAAAAGUAUAAAUUUGCAGUUGAAUACUUGAAGUUGGCUUUUAUAUCUUUGCCCACAACUGAACAGUUACCAUAUGCCCAUUUUGUUAACAUGUUUUUCUCUAAGGAAGCAAUGAAACCACCAAGAUUAAGCAACCACUUUACAAGAAACAUGGUGAAAAGUUGGGAAAGAUAAUAGCAUUCUUAUGAAGAGUUUGAAAACUGUCUUACUAUUUACUGGAAUCACAAAUGAUUGCAAAAUGUGGUAAGCUUCAUGACACUGGUCUUGACAAUUACCUCAUGGAUAUGACACCAAAAGUGCAGGCAACAAGAACAAAAAUAAUGAGUGGAACUACAUCAAACUAAAAAGCUUUUGCACAUCAAAGGAAACAACAGAGUGAAAAGGUAUUUUUGGAAUGGGAGAAAAUAUUUGCAAACCAUAAAGAGUUAAUCCCCUAAAUAUAUAAGGAACUCCUCCAACUCAAUAGUGGAAAAAAAUGAAUAGCACGCUUUAAAAAUGGUCUAAGGAAGGGGAGGGGGCAUAAACUGGGAGGCUGGGAUUAACAGAUACAUACCACCAUACACUGAAUAAACAACAGGAUUUACUGUAUAGCACAGGGAACUAUAUUCAAUAUCUUGUAAUAAAUUAUAAUGGGAAUUUUUUUUUUUUUUUUUGCUUUUUAGGGCUGCACCUGCAGCAUAUGGAGGUUCCCAGACUAGGGGUCUAAUCGGAGCUACAGCUUCCAGCCUACACCACAUCCACAGCAAUGCCAGAUCCGAGCAGCGUCUGCAACCUAUACCAUAGAUUGAGACAAUGCCAGAUCCUUAACCCACUGAGCAAGGUCAGGGAUCGAACCUGCGACCUCACGGUUCCUAGUCAGAUUCAUUUCUGCUGCACCACAACGGACUCCAAAAUGGAAAAAAAUUUAAAUGUUCAAAGAUCUUGAAUAAACAUUUCCCCAAAGAAGACUUACAAAUGGCCAACAUGUAUAUGAAAAAAAUGUUCACCUCAUUAGUCAUUAGGGAAAUGCAAAUCAAAACCACAAUA